CAAGUUUUAUUUGCACAACAAUGAAUUGUAAUAAACUGGAACUUGAGUUGUAAAAUUUAAGGAUUAGAAGCCAAUUUGGAAUGAUUCACAAGCAUGAGUUAUAGUUAUAAUCACAGCUUGGAUAUUUUAGCCUAAUUUGGCAGUUUGAGUUGCAGUUCACUAUCAUUCAGUGUAUAAUGUAGAGUGCAUUUAAGAAACCACUGUGGUACUCCACAGAAGUGGACAAAAUAGUAAAAAACUAAAAGUUAGCAUUUAGUAAUUAUAAGAAAAAAGCCACAGAUGAAGAUAGACAGAUCUAAGGCUAAGCAAGUUAUAAGAGCUUCCAAAUCACACACAGAAGAGAAAAUAGCACAGUCAGCAAAAAAAAAAACAACAACAAAAAAAAGGGGACAGAUACAUAAAUGAGAAACGUAAAGUAAAACAAGGAUUAGAUAGAUUGGAAACAAAAUAAGCAAUGUAUGUAGAAGAUUAUAAAGGUCUAGCUGACUGCCUCAAUUAAUAUUUUUGUUCAGUAUUUACAGAAUGAAAUGAAGAAAGGGACCUCAGUUAGGAAAAAGGACAAAUGAGUAAUUUGUUACAUGUCAGUUUACAGAGGAAGAGGUUCUAUUUCAACUGUCAAAAGUAAAGACAAAUAAGUCAAUGGGGCCUGAUGGAAUAGACACAAAAUUAUUAAAAGAGGCUUAGUGGUGUACUAGCAAAACCAUUAACGGAUUUAUUUAACCAAUCGUUAUAAACAGGAGUAGUGAGGAAAAAAUACAAAUAUAGAUUAAGUGCAAACUCUUUCACUAUAUCACUUAGUGAUAUUACAAUUUCCACCAACAAUACUUAGUAGUAUUUAAUUAGUGUAGCUUUCAGGUAGUUCUCUGCUUCCAAUGUUUGGUCUUCCAGAUCUCAAUUACAUGGAAAA